GAGCACCAGUGGGGAGGGAGGAGCAGCAGCCGCUGCGGACUUGCCCACCCAGCAGGUGCAAGGGCGACGGGAGCCAGUCCGCCCUGCGCUCCCCCCAGCAAAUGUCUGGCUGCUCCAGCAGCACGUGGGGCCUGGUGGACCCUCCUCGGACCUGUUGCGUGUUGCCCACAGACACCAUGGAGAAGAAACUCCGUCCCUAGCGAGAGGGGGCUCCCCCCAGUGCCCUCUCUUUAUUUUACAAUUGGUGUGUGUUGCAUGCAACCUUUGCAGAUCCCUCAGCUGAUGGGGCUUGUUCUUCACGGGCGCAGGAAGCUCCUUUCUCUCGCCGAUUUCUCCCUCAGAGCAUCUUUCCUCGCCUGCCCUGUCUCCCUCCGCUCCUACCCCCCAAAUCUGGGCUAGUUGAACUUCUCAAAAACGUCCUCACUGCAACACCAGCAUCGCCAAAGGGGGGAUGAAUUGUUGACAGAAGGGGGGGACAAAUCUGGCCUUUGGAUCUGGAAUGUUUCCUCGGCUUAUGUCAAGCCCUAUGCUAAUGGAAGCAGGAAACGCCAAAAGAAAGACUGUAAAGUGAAAUACUGUCCCUUUGAUUCCCCAAUUCCUUCCCCAACAUAUCCCCGACUUCCUUAAGUCCUCUUCUAGGGACGCUCAUACAAAUUUCAUUCUUAAUUUACAGGACAGGAAAAGUCUGUUAGUUCCUCCAGACCAGUAGGUCUCACCUUAAGACUGUAAAUUUGUACAUUUCUGUGGAAACGUUAAGUCUUUCAUUGACAAUAUGUUGCUUUCUUUGGCCACAUUUGAGUCAGUUUUAGACUCAAAAAAAAGGGGGGAGGGGAGAAAAGAACGCCUUUCAGAGUAAAUACAAAUAUUGCGUUACCAUUUAGGGAUCGCAAUUUUAUCUAAGGUUAAAUCAGACUUUUUGUCUGAGUGAUAAUUAUAUAUUUAUUAUUUAGCUUAACUGAAACAGAGGUGGUUUUGACAGCAGAAGAAUAUUCUCAUUUUCCAAGAACAGUUCCCCCAUCAAAUAUGAAGUGUUUCAAUGUGUUUUGGAGUCCCCAUCCUACCUGCUUAGGUUAUUUUUGGAGCAACUGCAAUUCAAUUGCAAAUAAUGAAUAUAAAACAGAAAAAAAUUAGAGAAAAACCUUCCUCAAUUAGAGUUUUUUUCUUGUUGUUUGUUUUUGUUUUUUACUUUUGUAAUGUGUAUAUUUUGACUAAUGUUUGUGAAUGAAGCUGGCUAACAUGUAUUUAGUUUCGUUUUGGCUCUAUGUAAUAUAAAGCAAAAAGUUUAAGUAUCGGUUUUAACAUUUACAUGUAAAUGGGUUUUUUUGUGUGAUUUUCUAAUUUAAAAUUAGACGUCUAAACUAUAUCUGUAAAUUAGAAUCCGACUACCACUCUGUUCAUUUUUGAACAAAGAGUUUAAAUAAAGCCUGAAGCAGGGAAAAG